rnacentral:lncRNA from 1 species
CUGCUGUUUCCAACAGGCACAACUACACCCACACCAAGCACACCAAUAUCGAUAAUCACUACCUCGCCCUCAGAGACUACCACCACUAGCACCAGCCCUCCAAGCACAACAGCAACAACCACAACAACGGUUACUGGAUCACCAACAACUAUCUCAACUCCUGGAAGCACACCUCCAUCCACACCAAGCACAACAUCCAGUACAUCAGAAUCGCCAACCUCUCACUUGCCAUCAGAGACUCCCACCACCACUGCCAGCACCACGAUGCCCCCCAGCAGCACCACCAGCAUCAGCACUCCGAGCACAACAACUGUUACUGAAUCAUCAACACCCACGUCAACUACUCCAAGCACAUCCACGCCCACACCAACAUACACCACCACCACAACUUCAGGCACAACUACACCCACACCAAGCACAACAAAAUCAACAACCACUACCCUGCCACCGGAGACUACCACCUCCACCACCAGCCCUCCAAGCACAACAACCACUGUUCCUGAAUCAACAACAACCAUCUCAACUCCUCAAACCCCACCUACAAGCACACCAGGUACACCAACUACUCCCACUCCAACAGCAUCUGAAACUCCCAACAUCACUUCCAGCACCACAAUGCCUCCCAGCAGCACCACCAGCAUCAGCACCCCUAGGACAACAACAACAACUGUUACUGGCUCAUCAACAACCUUCUCAACUACUUCAAGCACAUCCACACCCAUAUCGAGAUAUACAACCACCGUACCAACUCC